UACCAGGGGGGCAAAUGUUGUUCGGAAUCACUGGGCGUAAAGGGAGCGUAGGCGGGUUCUUAAGUUAGGUGUUUAAUCCCGGGGCCCAACCCCGGACCGGCACUUAAAACUGGGAAUCUUGAAUAGUGGAGAGGUCGGUGGAAUUGGAGGUGUAGCGGUGGAAUGCGUAGAGAUCUCCAAGAACACCAGUUGCGAAGGCGGCCGACUGGACACAUAUUGACGCUGAGGCUCGAAAGCAUGGGGAGCAAACAGG
rnacentral:rRNA from 1 species